rnacentral:rRNA from 1 species
CCUACGGGUGGCAGCAGUCGAGAAUCAUUCACAAUGGGGGAAACCCUGAUGGUGCGACGCCGCGUGGGGGAAUGAAGGUCUUCGGAUUGUAAACCCCUGUCAUGUGGGAGCAAAUUAAAAAGAUAGUACCACAAGAGGAAGAGACGGCUAACUCUGUGCCAGCAGCCGCGGUAAUACAGAGGUCUCAAGCGUUGUUCGGAAUCACUGGGCGUAAGGCGUGCGUAGGCUGUUUCGUAAGUCGUGUGUGAAAGGCGCGGGCUCAACCCGCGGACUGCACAUGAUACUGCGAGACUAGAGUAAUGGAGGGGGAACCGGAAUUCUCCGUGUAGCAGUGAAAUGCGUAGAUAUCGAGAGGAACACUCGUGGCGAAGGCGGGUUCCUGGACAUUAACUGACGCUGAGGCACGAAGGCCAGGGGAGCGAAAGGGAUUAGAUACCCCUGUAGUC